rnacentral:rRNA from 1 species
UACGUAGGGGGCGAGCGUUGUCCGAAGUUACUGGGCGUAAAGCGCGCGUAGGCGGGUUGGUAAGUCCGCUGUGAAAGCCCGGAGCUUAACUCCGGAGGGUCGGUGGAUACUGCCAGUCUUGAAGGUGCUAGGGGGAGAUGGAAUUACCGGUGUAGCGGUGAAAUGCGUAGAUAUCGGUAGGAACACCAGUGGCGAAGGCGGUCUCCUGGGGCAUUCUUGACGCUGAGGCGCGAAAGCUGGGGGAGCAAACGGG